rnacentral:rRNA from 1 species
UACGAAGGGGGCUAGCGUUGCUCGGAAUUACUGGGCGUAAAGCGUGCGCAGGCGGUUAUGCAAGACAGAUGUGAAAUCCCCGGGCUUAACCUGGGAACCGCAUUUGUGACUGCAUAGCUGGAGUACGGCAGAGGGGGAUGGAAUUCCGCGUGUAGCAGUGAAAUGCGUAGAUAUGCGGAGGAACACCGAUGGCGAAGGCAGUCCCCUGGGCCUGUACUGACGCUCAUGCACGAAAGCGUGGGGAGCAAACAGG